rnacentral:piRNA from 1 species
UGGUAGAUAAUUCCUUCCCAUCAGGCC